rnacentral:rRNA from 1 species
CAAUAGCGUAUAUUAACGUUGUUGCAGUUAAAAAGCUCGUAGUUGGAUUUCUGGAGGGAGCGUCGGCCCGUAUUUACGAGUGCGUGACGUCUCUGUCCAUCCUUGCGGGAAGGCACGGCAUUGAUUUGUUGUGUCGGAUCGCAUCAUUUACUGUGAAAAAAUUAGAGUGUUCAAAGCAGGCUUUCGCUUGAAUACAUUAGCAUGGAAUACUAAGAUAGGACUUUGGUGCUAUUUUGUUGGUUGAGCCUAAAGUAAUGAUUAAUAGGGAUAGUUGGGGGCACCUGUAUUGCGUUGUCAGAGGUGAAAUUCUUGGAUUUACGCAAGACAAACAGCUGCGAAAGCGUCUGCCAAGGAUGUUUUCAUUAA